rnacentral:misc_RNA from 1 species
GAGHUUUGAAAUGGGHUGUAGCUGGCCUUCCGAGGCAUGHGCACGCCCUGCUCAUCCACUCUACACCUGUGCACUUACUGUAGGHUUCAGGAGCUUCACGGGCUUUCAUUAGUCCGGGUUGUAACUGGGCUUACGUUUACUACAAACUCUUAUAAAGUAUCAGAAUGHGUAUUGCGAUGUAACGCAUCUAUAU